rnacentral:ncRNA from 1 species
AGUCUUUCGCGUGGUUGCUGAUUAAAAAAAAAAGAGAAAAGAACGUUCCGCUUCAAUCCUGUGUUGUUUAGAGGUCGGCUGCGCUCAGGCGCUGUCCAAGGGGCAGUGUUACCAGGGGAAAUGAAAACGUGCUGCGUCUUCGGAUGUGGUGAGCCAUUCACGACGGUGCGUCGCAUUUUAAAUUUCUGCAAGGAUUGGCAAAUUGAAAGCUCUUUCUUGAUUCGGUGAAUGGUGGUGCGUACCCGUUCUUCAUUGGUGGAGUGAUUUGUCUGGUAAAUUCCGAUAACGAACGAGACCCUAGCCUAUUAAAUAGGUGCGUGGUUCUCUGCACCUUGCACCCUUCUUAGAGGGACAAGCGGCUCUUAGCCGCACAAGAAAGAGCAAUAACAGGUCUGUGAUGCUCUUAGACGUCCGAGGUCGCACGCGCGCUGCACUUAAUAAAGCAGCGUGUUUUUAGCCCUGUUUGUUAAGACAGUAAGCUUAGAAAAAAGUGGCUUGAGCAAAUACAGAGGGCUAUUUGAAGUCCAUCGGACUACUCCCGAGCAAGCGUUCGUGUGUUUAAAUAACAGGGCAUAGAAAAAAACGUUUCUAUAAAA